UACGAAGGGGGCUAGCGUUGUUCGGAAUUACUGGGCGUAAAGCGCACGUAGGCGGACUAUUAAGUCAGGGGUGAAAUCCCGGGGCUCAACCCCGGAACUGCCUUUGAUACUGGUAGUCUCGAGUCCGGAAGAGGUGAGUGGAAUUCCGAGUGUAGAGGUGAAAUCGUAGAUAUUCGGAGGAACACCAGUGGCGAAGGCGGCUCACUGGUGUCCCGGUACUGGACGCUGAGACGCGAAAGCGUGGGGAGCGAACAGG
rnacentral:rRNA from 1 species